rnacentral:rRNA from 1 species
UACGAAGGGGGCUAGCGUUGCUCGGAAUGACUGGGCGUAAAGGGCGCGUAGGCGGAUUGCUUUGUCGGGCGUGAAAUUCCAGGGCUUAACCUUGGGGCUGCGUUCGAGACGGGUGAUCUUGAGUGGGGAAGAGGGUCGUGGAAUUCCCAGUGUAGAGGUGAAAUUCGUAGAUAUUGGGAAGAACACCGGUGGCGAAGGCGGCGACCUGGUCCUUUACUGACGCUGAGGCGCGAAAGCGUGGGGAGCAAACAGG